AUACUUACCUGGCCAGGGAGAUGCCAUGAUCACCAAGGUGCCUUUCCCAGGGCCAGGCUUGUCCAUCGCUCUCUGGAUGUGCUGACCCCCCGCGAUUUCCCUAAAUGUGGGGACCUCGGCUGUCUAGCUUGUGGUAUGGGGGACUGCAUUUGCGUUCUCCCCUA
rnacentral:snRNA from 1 species